UGAUAUUUAUAUCUUACUUCAUGUCAUGACACCAAUGUAUAUUACUCUCUGAUAUGUUUAUGGGAUAUAAAUUAUGUCAUCCUGUUGGAGAUUUUUCUACACGUUGAAAAAAUUUUAAAAAGCAUUUAAUGGUCUGAAAGAACUUUCCCAAUUGGUGACAGCAUGAAAAUAAGUCAUUUUUUAAAAAAAUCUAAAGAUUAAUAGAUCUAUUAUUUGUAAUAUGUACCUCAAAAAAGUUCAGAGGUGCACGCCCAUAAUUCGAGUGGCUCAGGAGGCUAAGGCAGGAGGAUUGCAAGUUCAAAGACAGGCUCAGCAACUUAGUGAGGCCUUAUGCAACUUAGUCAGACCCUGCCUUAAAACAAACAACCAAACAACCAAACAAACAGUAAGGGCUGGGCAUGUGGCUCAAUGGUUAAGUGCUCUGGGUUCAAUUCCUGAUACCAAAAAAAAAAAAAAAAAGUUCAAGUUGUUGUUCUCUUGAUACUAUUUCUUUUAUCAUCUGUUCUAUAUGUGAAAGCAUGUGUACAAAAUGAAUUUGAUACUGCUCAAAUAUGUCUUUCCUGUUUGUGUUGCAAACUAUCUAAGGAGGAAUCUUCAAUAUAGAAAGGAUCAAUGGUUGACCAGUUGAGUGGAUGAGCUUACAAGAAAAAGGUUCAAGGAUGUCAAGAAUGAACCUCUGUGCUCUAGCCUAUUAAGGAGAAUGAAAAAUCCCUGGAGAAGAUGAGAAAAGAAAAUAAUUCAGGAAGCAUGCUAAAAAUAAAAAUAUACUCUAAAGAGAGGCUGGCAGUCUGAGAUCAAGGCAUCAGCAGGGUUGGUUCAUUCCAUCUGAGGCUGUGAGGAAGGAUCUCAUCCAGGCCUCUCUUUGCUGGCCAUCUUUGACAUUUAUUGGUUUGAUGAUGUGUUGCCCGAUCUCCGCCUUCAUCUUUACAUGGACCUCUCCCUGUAAUCUUCCCUAUGCUUCCAGACUGGGUGAAGUGUCCCACCUCUGCUCACUGCAACCUAUGCAUAAAACUAACUCAGUAAAGGCAUCGAAAGGAUCUCCAUGCUCAACUUCCAGUAGAUCAUAAGCUCCUUGAGGACAUGGACAUGAUUUUCCAUUCAGGGACCCACACAGUACUGAAGGUAAAGCCUCACCUGUGACACGUUGGGUUUAAUAUAUGUUGAAUUUUAAUAUUCAUAAUCAUAGGGAAAUAAUCUAUCUGUGUUGAUGAAGCCCUUUAACACACCAGUCAAUGAUUUAAUUGUUGAGAUUUGACAGCUGAAACCAAAAAUGUGUGAGUCUGUGGUGUACCUUUGGGAUACUCUAUGAAUACGAUGGUAUACGUAGAAUCUACUGAACAUCUGGCCUGAUUGUAGACACUCAGUAAACAUUCAUUGAAAGUCAAUGCAAUUCAGUCAUGUAUUCAUUUAUUAGUUCAAAAAUAAUUUACUCAAAAAUUGCAAUGUCCCAGUACUGGUGCUGAAGAAACCAAGAGAUAUGAGUUGUUGGUUAUAUAAAUGAGGCAUAGUCAUAUGAUGAGUAUCAUAAACAUCUCCGGAUGAAUGUGCUGUAAGUCAUUAUGGUCUAGAUAUAAGGUGUCCCCGAAAGGCUCAUGUGUGAGACCAUAUAAGAAGUUUUAGAGAUACAAUAAUGUUAGAUCAUGAGAGGUGUAACUGUUUCAGUGGAUUAAUCCACUGAUAUGGAUUAACUAGGUGGUAACUGUUGGAAGGUAGGAUGUGGCUGGAGGAGGUAGGUCACUAAGGGUGU